UUUUUGUUGUUUUUUUUUUU
rnacentral:miRNA from 1 species